AGAUAGGGCAGAGAUGGAAGUGCAGCGAUGCAUGGAGUUGACUGUUACUAAUCGGUCGAUAGCUUGACCUUA
rnacentral:rRNA from 1 species